AUUGAACGCUGGUGGCAUGCCUUACACAUGCAAGUCGAACGGUAACAGGUCUUCGGAUGCUGACGAGUGGCGAACGGGUGAGUAAUACAUCGGAACGUGCCUAGUAGUGGGGGAUAACUACUCGAAAGAGUGGCUAAUACCGCAUGAGAUCUACGGAUGAAAGCAGGGGAUCGCAAGACCUUGUGCUACUAGAGCGGCCGAUGGCGGAUUAGGUAGUUGGUGGGAUAAAAGCUUACCAAGCCGACGAUCUGUAGCUGGUCUGAGAGGACGAUCAGCCACACUGGGACUGAGAAACGGCCCAGACUCCUACGGGAGGCAGCAGUGGGGAAUUUUGGACAAUGGGCGCAAGCCUGAUCCAGCAAUGCCGCGUGCAGGAUGAAGGCCUUCGGGUUGUAAACUGCUUUUGCACGGAACGAAAAGCCCUGGGUUAAUACCCUGGGGUCAUGACGGUACCGUAAGAAUAAGCACCGGCUAACUACGUGCCAGCCGCCGCAGUAAAAC
rnacentral:rRNA from 1 species